GGCCUUGUGGUGUAACUACACAUUAGAUUGCAAAUCUAGGGUCGCAGAUUAGAAGUCUGCCGGGGCUU
rnacentral:tRNA from 1 species